UACGUAGGUGGCGAGCGUUGUCCGGAUUUACUGGGCGUAAAGGGAGCGUAGGCGGACUCUUAAGUGAGAUGUGAAAUACUCGGGCUCAACUUGAGUGCUGCAUUUCAAACUGGAAGUCUAGAGUGCAGGAGAGGAGAAUGGAAUUCCUAGUGUAGCGGUGAAAUGCGUAGAGAUUAGGAAGAACACCAGUGGCGAAGGCGAUUCUCUGGUCUGUAACUGACGCUGAGGUUCGAAAGCGUGGGUAGCAAACAGG
rnacentral:rRNA from 1 species